UUCCCGCCGACCGACCGUCCGGAGCAUGCGCAGUGGGAGCGUUCCUGAGGAUCGGUUGGUAUUUUUUCGGCUCCGCAAAAGCAUGUUAGACGACAAAUUGCAGAUUGAAAAUUCAAACAAAAUAACAUACCAAGAUCUGAGUGUGCCACUUUAUUCUUUCUUCAUUGAACACUGGAUAUUAUCGAGGCCCUCACAUCCUUUGUGGAGAUGCUUGCGUGGACCCAAGAACUCUGUUUUCAUGUGAGUGAUGUUAUGUCACACAUACAGUUGGUCACUAACAUCACCCCGAUUCCCAGGUGUUGCCUCAACUGUGAGA